AAAGGCACAGAGUGGGGCCCGUUUUCCCCAGAAGGCAGAACGUGAGAGAAAUCGACAGUGUGCGUUUCCACACUGAAUUUAUGUCCAGUUUCCUAUGAGAGAAUGUCUUAUGUAUAAUGCACAUACUCUCCCCAGUUCUAAAUAG